CACAACUUUCGGUGAUGGGGAGUGACGGCUGUAACAGCAGAAUUCAUAGGGUUAAUUUGAUCACCUCUUCAACUUUGUAAGGUGGAUUUAUUUUUGGAAAAAAGUGGUUCCCUGGAGUGCUCCUUUCAGCUGACAGAUCUGUUUAAACACUAUAGAUUCUAUCAAUUGCACAUGACACCUGGAGAAGGGGAGCCUGUCUGAGGAUUUGAGGCACAUGUCCUGGAUCCCUAGACGAGUGCAGCUAUGGUGUCAGACAGGGUAAAGUGUAAUUAACCUUAUCGUGACACCAGAAUAAUGGGACAGAUCCUUUCAAGAUUACUGGUCUGCCGAGUCAUUUUACCUGUGGCAGGCAGCACAAG